GCGAAUUGCUACGAUAUCAUUAUAAUGCCUGACCUUGUCCCUGCCGUUGGCAUAAAAACCCCCGGUAACAGGUGACAAAUGGGUGACAUCAGGUUAUUUUUU
rnacentral:ncRNA from 1 species